rnacentral:rRNA from 1 species
CAGUCGCCGCGGGAAUACGAAGGGUGCAAGCGUUACUCGGAAUUACUGGGCGUAAAGCGUGCGUAGGUGGUGGUUUAAGUCCGUUGUGAAAGCCCCGGGCUCAACCUGGGAAUUGCAGUGGAUACUGGGUCACUAGAGUGUGGUAGAGGAUAGUGGAAUUUCCGGUGUAGCAGUGAAAUGCGUAGAGAUCGGAAGGAACAUCUGUGGCGAAGGCGACUAUCUGGGCCAACACUGACACUGAGGCACGAAAGCGUGGGGAGCAAACAGGAUUAGAUACCCCCGUAGUCCCUGUCUCUUAUAC